AUAACAUUAAUUUUGAGGGACAAGCAAGGAACAUCCAUUACGGGAUAGACAGGACACAUACGAGUACAUGACGGGACAGACACGCAUGCUUCUCGCCGGCUGCCCGCGGCCUGUCUGCCUGUAUUGCGGUGACUCAGAGGGCAGUCAGUGCCAGGCAGGCUGGGAGUGUAGACGUUGCGAAAGUGUUAACACACUGUGUUUUACGAACUGCGGGAUGAAGUCAAGCAGUUCAUGGAGGUGAAGGGAAAACCUCUCAGGGAACUCAAUGAUAGCAAGUGGCUGUUUGAUCGACUGUGCUCAAGUCUGACCGAUGCAAACCUGGAAAAGCAGUUGCGAGUAGCAACAUCAUCAAUACCAGCUAACAUCUCACCAAAGAGAGGCAGUUCCAGCCAUCACAUUAGGGGAGCUGCAUUAUCUUGUCACCCCAGCAACUCUGAAAGGGAGCCACUUGUUCUUGGGAAUUGCUGAAGCCAAGCGGUUCUUAGAAAUAUCUCUCAGUGGUGCAGAUGCAAAACAACGAGCGUCUGGCACAGCAAGCACAACCACACCGCCUGCAUGCAAGCAGAGAGAAAAAGAAAGAGAGAACGUGUACUCCAGCUGGGUGCUCUUUGGCCACAGUGCCAGGUGAAGGAGCUACAGUAUUAAGUUCUUACUUAAUGGGCCAUGCAGCCCAGCCUCCUUGGACCAGGGAAGACAGCAUUCAGCUGGCGCAGCUUCUUCAGACACUCCAAAGAUUAACAUUACAGAAGGAACCAGACCAAGCAAAAAAGGAUUGAAACUUGGACAACGGAGGGAGGAAAACAUUGC